GGGGUUAUAGAUUAAUUAGAUCAUUAGUUUCCAAAACUUAAAGUGCGGGUAACACUCCCGCUGACCUCU